UACGUAGGGUGCAAGCGUUGUCCGGAAUUAUUGGGCGUAAAGAGCUCGUAGGCGGUCUGUUGCGUCGGCUGUGGAAACCCGAGGCUCAACCUCGGGCCUGCAGCCGAUACGGGCAGACUAGAGUUCGGCAGGGGAGACUGGAAUUCCUGGUGUAGCGGUGGAAUGCGCAGAUAUCAGGAGGAACACCGGUGGCGAAGGCGGGUCUCUGGGCAGUAACUGACGCUGAGGAGCGAAAGCGUGGGGAGCGAACAGG
rnacentral:rRNA from 1 species